GAUGAACGCUAGCGGGAGGCCUAACACAUGCAAGCCGAGCGGUAUUGUUUCUUCGGAAAUGAGAGAGCGGCGUACGGGUGCGGAACACGUGUGCAACCUGCCUUUAUCUGGGGGAUAGCCUUUCGAAAGGAAGAUUAAUACUCCAUAAUAUAUUGAACGGCAUCGUUUAAUAUUGAAAGCUCCGGCGGAUAGAGAUGGGCACGCGCAAGAUUAGCUAGUUGGUGAGGUAACGGCUCACCAAGGCAAUGAUCUUUAGGGGGCCUGAGAGGGUGAUCCCCCACACUGGUACUGAGACACGGACCAGACUCCUACGGGAGGCAGCAGUGAGGAAUAUUGGUCAAUGGGUGCAAGCCUGAACCAGCCAUCCCGCGUGAAGGACGACUGCCCUAUGGGUUGUAAACUUCUUUUGUAUAGGGAUAAACCUUUCCACGUGUGGGAAGCUGAAGGUACUAUACGAAUAAGCACCGGCUAACUCCGUGCCAGCCGCCGCAGUAACAC
rnacentral:rRNA from 1 species